UAAGCUUCGGGUAGGUGCAAAUAACCCUUGAUCCGGAGAUUUCCGAAUGGGACAACCUAGCCGUCUGAAGGACGGUUACUAGCACUUAAGUGUUAGAGCUAACGCAGGGAACUGAAACAUCUUAGUACCUGCAGGAAGAGAAAAUAAAUGAAUGAUUCCCCCAGUAGUGGCGAGCGAACGGGGAACAGCCCAAACCAGUGGCGUCGCAAGGCGUGGCUGGGGUUGUAGGACCGCAACAUUGUAUGCAAAUCGUGAACAGAACACUUUGGAAAAUGUGACCAUAGACGGUGAUAGUCCAGUAUGUGAAGCGAAAUG
rnacentral:rRNA from 1 species